rnacentral:rRNA from 1 species
CAAGAUGAGUUUGAUCAUGGCUCAGGAUGAACGCUGGCGGCGUGCUUAACACAUGCAAGUCGAACGGAGCUUUGUUACGGAAUCUUCGGAAGAAGUGAUGAAGCUUAGUGGCGGACGGGUGAGUAACACGUGAGCAACCUACCUUUUGCAGGGGAAUAACUCUGGGAAACCAGAGCUAAUACCGCAUGCCGUACACUUGAGGCAUCUUAGGUGUAUGAAAGGAUUAAUCCGGCAGAAGAUGGGCUCGCGUCCGAUUAGGUAGUUGGUGGGGUAAAGGCCUACCAAGCCGACGAUCGGUAGCCGGACUGAGAGGUCGACCGGCCACAUUGGGACUGAGACACGGCCCAGACUCCUACGGGAGGCAGCAGUGGGGAAUAUUGGGCAAUGGGCGAAAGCCUGACCCAGCGACGCCGCGUGAAGGAGGAAGGCUUUCGAGUUGUAAACUUCUUUGGGGAGGGACGAAGAUGACGGUACCUCCAGAACAAGCCACGGCUAACUACGUGCCAGCAGCCGCGGUAAUACGUAGGUGGCGAGCGUUAUCCGGAUUUACUGGGUGUAAAGGGCGCGCAGGCGGCCCUGGAAGUCAGAUGUGAAAGAUCAAGGCUUAACUUUGACAGGUCAUCUGAAACUUUGGGGCUUGAGUAUCAGAGGGGAAAGUGGAAUUCCUAGUGGAGCGGUAAAAUGCACAGAUAUUAGGAGGAACACCGGUGGCGAAGGCGACUUUCUGGCUGACAACUGACGCUGAGGCGCGAGAGCGUGGGGAGCAAACAGGAUUAGAUACCCUGGUAGUCCACGCCGUAAACGAUGAUUACUGGGUGUAGGGAGUAUCGACUCUCUCUGUGCCGAAGCAAACGCGAUAAGUAAUCCACCUGGGGAGUACGGCCGCAAGGCUAAAACUCAAAGGAAUUGACGGGGGCCCGCACAAGCAGUGGAGUAUGUGGUUUAAUUCGAGGCAACGCGAAGAACCUUACCAGGGUUUGACAUCCUGCGCAAGGCUUAGAGAUAGGCUGUUCCCCUCGGGGACGCAGAGACAGGUGGUGCAUGGUUGUCGUCAGCUCGUGUCGUGAGAUGUUCGGUUAAGUCCGGCAACGAGCGCAACCCUUGUUGCCAGUUGCCAUCAUUUGGUUGGGCACUUUGGCGAGACUGCCGUUGACAAAACGGAGGAAGGUGGGGAUGACGUCAAAUCAUCAUGCCCCUUAUAUCCUGGGCUACACACGUACUACAAUGGGCGUUACAGAGGGCAGCCACACCGCGAGGUGGCGCGAAUCCCGAAAGGCGUCCUCAGUUCGGAUUGCAGGCUGCAACUCGCCUGCAUGAAGUCGGAAUUGCUAGUAAUGGCAGGUCAGCAUACUGCCGUGAAUACGUUCCCGGGCCUUGUACACACCGCCCGUCACACCAUGAGAGUCUGUAACACCCGAAGUCAGUAGUCUAACCUGAGUAGAUUAGGGGGACGCUGCCGAAGGUGGGAUAGAUAAUUGGGGUGAAGUCGUAACAAGGUAGCCACUUCUAGAAGACUCAUACAAUGCCGCC